UACGUAGGGAGCGAGCGUUGUCCGGAAUUACUGGGUGUAAAGGGAGCGUAGGCGGGGAUGCAAGUUGGGUGUUAAAUCUACCGGCUCAACUGGUAGUCGCACUCAAAACUGCAGCUCUUGAGUGAAGUAGAGGCAGGCGGAAUUCCUAGUGUAGCGGUGAAAUGCGUAGAUAUUAGGAGGAACACCAGUGGCGGAGGCGGCUUACUGGACGGUAACUGACGCUGAGGCUCGAAAGCGUGGGGAGCAAACAGG
rnacentral:rRNA from 1 species